GAUGAACGCUGGCGGCGUGCUUAACACAUGCAAGUCGAACGAUGAAGCCCAGCUUGCUGGGUGGAUUAGUGGCGGACGGGUGAGUAACACGUGAGCAACCUGCUCCUGACUCUGGGUUAAGCGCUGGAACCGGCGCCUAAUACUGGAUAUGUCUCGUCACCGCAUGGUGUGCGGGUGGAACGAUUAUGCGGGUGUAGAUAGGUGGGCGGCUUAUCUGCUUGUUGGUGGGGUAAUGGCCCACCAAGGCGUCGCCGGGUAGGCCACCUGAGAGGUUGAACGGCCACAAUGGGACUGAGACACGGAGCAGACGCCAACGGGAGGCAGCAGUGGGGAGUAUUGCACAACGGGGGGAAGCCUGAGGCAGCAACGCCGCGUGAGGGAUGACGGUCUUCGGGUUGUAAACCGCUUUUAGCAGGGAAGAAGCGAAAGUGACGGUACCUGCAGAAAAAGCACCGGCUAACUACGUG
rnacentral:rRNA from 1 species